AACGAACGCUGGCGGCAUGCCUAACACAUGCCAGUCGAACGAGACCUUCGGGUCUAGUGGCGCACGGGUGCGUAACGCGUGGGAACCUGCCCUUAGGUUCGGAAUAACUCCCCGAAAGGGGUGCUAAUACCGGAUAAUGUCUUCGGACCAAAGAUUUAUCGCCUUUGGAUGGGCCCGCGUUGGAUUAGCUAGUUGGUAGGGUAAAAGCCUACCAAGGCGACGAUCCAUAGCUGGUCUGAGAGGAUGAUCAGCCACACUGGGACUGAGACACGGCCCAGACUCCUACGGGAGGCAGCAGUGGGGAAUAUUGGACAAUGGGCGAAAGCCUGAUCCACCAAUGCCGCGUGAGUGAUGAAGGCCUUAGGGUUGUAAAGCUCUUUUACCCGGGAUGAUAAUGACAGUACCGGGAGAAUAAGCUCCGGCUAACUCCGU
rnacentral:rRNA from 1 species